UUCCAAUUACAUACAUAUAACUGAGAUCAGAAGUGGCUGGAAAAUAUAAAGUCAAAAUACAAAAAAGGGUCACUUCUUUCACUAAGCUAUUGGACUCAUUAGAGUGCGAGAAUGAUCAUACACUUAAGUUUUGUGGAUCCAUGGGAUCCUCAUAAACUUCAAUGGGUAGGUCACUUGGCAGUUCAAAUUUUCUUUCUCAUCUGGGAGGGGGAGUGUGGAAAGAGUGAGUUUCAUAUGCUCAGUAAGGAAAACGAUAUUUAAAUAACAUUGUAAGGUUUUAAAGGUGAAUUAUUCUAACAUACAUACUUAUUAUUUAAUUACUUUAUAGACCUAUUUUACCUUAUGAAAAUAAUUUAUUUAUUAAAAAAAACAUCAUAUUAGUAUAAUUAAAAUAAACACAUAUUAUACCAAAAAUAGAGAAAAUCAAAUAAAUCAUGAAAUGCUCAGAUUUUGUGUCAUGCUUCGCGAAGUCAUUAUGACUUCCAUCUCUGAAGGUAGAUACAGAUUUUUGACUGCCCAUGUGGAAUGAUGAGAUCAGAUACAAAUAUGCCAAUUUGCUCAGACACAUUUCUGGCUUGCCAAACCAUGAUACAAUCUGUGACCACAAUCAUACCAACCAUAGUAGUCCUACCAGAUAUUCCAUAGUCACGAUAGUACUUAGCCAAAGGUGAUUCCUAACAGAUAUUUGAGUCACUACUCUCACCAGAGGGUACGUCGUUAUCCACAGGGAGCGGUCCUCUUAUGUCUUUCCAAACUAGAUAGGGGAACAGAUACCCUUAAGAGAUAAAAAGUCUAAUGAGACACAUGAUACAUUAUGCAUGUCAAUACAGAUACAUACUCGGACCAUUCAUACUUCAUUCUGUAUUUCUCUUUCUUUUUGUUUUAUUUCUUUUAUUUUUCCAGAUAACCUUACUGGUUUCAUAUUAUUCUAAUCACAUGCGAAUUAUCAAGUGUUUAUAAUUCAUAUAACAUGCUUGAAAUAAAAAAUAAUUCAACUUAUUAAACCUAUAAACAUAAAAGCAUGCAAGAACAGGUAAAUCACAAUUAUCAAUUUAAUCUCUUUUCUUUUUGUCUAAAAAUACCCCUUAAGAUGUUUAAAGAAAUACUAAAUUUCUUACCGAAACUUUGAUAAUUUCUUCUAUACCGUUAUGUUUUUCUUCCUUUCCUUCUCUCUCUAGAUCACUUUCUCUUUUUCUUUAAUUCUUGAAAGGUGGAA
rnacentral:lncRNA from 1 species